CAGCCAUAUCACUCAGUCAUAAAGCUGAAAGCAACCUUGAAAAAUCCACCUGAGUGAAUCUUGUGAUGUCAGGGGCUGACCUCUGACACUGGAAACAGAUCUUUGGCAACUGCACUAAUUCAAUAUGUUGAUCUGGUGGUCAUCCUUCUCUUUGUGGUACAAGCUCUCACCUCUUCUGAAAAUGUUUCAGGCAAUUCCUCAAGAACAUCCUGAGAGCUGGGGGGGGGGUGCCACUUCUUUUAAAAUACAGCAUUGUCCUGGGUGGCAAGAUUGCCAGGGCCACCAAUUGUAGUCUGGGUAGAGGUAUAAAAGAGCAAUUUAUUGUAUCGAAAUUAUGCAGUUCCAUUCCAGGAAUUUCACUCCCCCUCCAACAUUUGUCUGUGGUCCAAACAAAAAACAAAAAAACCACCAACCCCAAGACUGAAAUGAACAAACCCCAGGACUGAAACUGUAUCUUCAAGGCAGCUUUUUUUAUUCUUCUUUCCCACCUUUCAACCAGCAUUGCUGUCUGUGUCACCGUGAUGCCUCCUAAGCCGCUCUUCCUCCUUUUGGCUCCAGCCGUUCUUUUGUCCACCAUCUGAAAAUGGCUCCCUUUAGUUUCCAGCUGUACUCAUUCCAAAUGCUUUUUGUAAAAUGUACCAAUCUGGCCUUUAGCCAGCGGGAUAGCAUUUACCUCUGUCCCUAACCUAAGCUAGGAAAGUUUUUAACAAUGGGAAAAGAGCUGUUUCUUCUCAAGCAAGCUGACAGAACAUCAUCUUACAACAUAUUUUUAUUAUUUUUAUUUUUAGAGAAAGGAAGUAUUUCCUUUCAAGGCUACCUGUCCAAUUACAAGACUCGCUGAAAACUGAACGAACUGGGAGAACAGGAAAGACAUAAGGGUAUCCUCAGCUUCUGUGGGGGGUGUUUUUGCAAAAUGCACAAUUCUUGAAUUUUCCAGCCUUUUAUUACCUGCUUGAUUUCCUUUCAUUAAAUAUACAUAUAAUCUGCUGAAAGAUAAAAGGCAGCUUUAUUUUGCAUCUUCUGCAGCAGCCUCUUUCAGCCCUUUUAUGUUUUGGUUUUGUUCUGGGAACAGAGCAUAAUGGCAGCUGCUCAUACUUCAAUAAAAGACACUCCAUGCAG